AAUCUUCCACAAUGGGCGAAAGCCUGAUGGAGCAACGCCGCGUGAGUGAAUAAUGUUUUCGGAUCGUAAAACUCUGUUGUAAGGGAAGAACAAGUCCAGUAGUAACAGGCUGUAUCUUGUCGGUACCUUCUUAUUAAUCCAAGGCUAACUUCGUGCCAGCAGCCGAGGUAAUACGUAUGUGGCAAGCGUUGUCCGGAAUUAUUUGUCGUAAAGCGCGCGCAGGCGGUACUUUAAGUCUGAUGUGAAAGCCCACGGCUCAACCGUGGAGGGUCAUUGGAAACUGGGGGACUUGAGUACAGAAGAGGAAAGUGGAAUUCCAAGUGUAGCGGUGAAAUGCGUAGAGAUUUGGAGGAACACCAGUGGCGAAGGCGACUUUCUGGUCUGUAACUGACGCUGAGGCGCGAAAGCGUGGGGAGCAAACAGG
rnacentral:rRNA from 1 species